GAUGAACGCUGGCGGCGUGCUUAACACAUGCAAGUCGAACGGUGAAGGCGGAGCUUGCUCUGCUGGAUCAGUGGCGAACGGGUGAGUAACACGUGAGCAAUCUGCCCCUGACUCUGGGAUAAGCGCUGGAAACGGCGUCUAAUACUGGAUACGAGCUGCGAAGGCAUCUUCAGCAGCUGGGAAGAAUUUCGGUCAGGGAUGAGCUCGCGGCCUAUCAGCUUGUUGGUGAGGUAAUGGCUCACCAAGGCGUCGACGGGUAGCCGGCCUGAGAGGGUGACCGGCCACACUGGGACUGAGACACGGGCCAGACUCCUACGGGAGGCAGCAGUGGGGAAUAUUGCACAAUGGGCGAAAGCCUGAUGCAGCAACGCCGCGUGAGGGACGACGGCCUUCGGGUUGUAAACCUCUUUUAGCAGGGAAGAAGCGAAAGUGACGGUACCUGCAGAAAAAGCGCCGGCUAACUACGUG
rnacentral:rRNA from 1 species